UGCACCUAAAAGCGUUUUCUUGUACGCCAAUUCAAUGCGCUUGAAAAUCGUAGCUGUGUGCCAGAGCAAAGCUAAGUUGCAAGUGACUUUUGAAUUAUUACCACUCGAAAGUCCAUAACGCUGAGUACAUUU